rnacentral:rRNA from 1 species
UACGUAGGGUGCGAGCGUUGUCCGGAAUUAUUGGGCGUAAAGGGCGCGUAGGCGGCGUGACAAGUCACUUGUGAAAUCUCCGGGCUUAACUCGGAGCGGUCAAGUGAUACUGUCGUGCUAGAGUGCGGAAGGGGCUACUGGAAUUCUCGGUGUAGCGGUGAAAUGCGUAGAUAUCGAGAGGAACACCUGCGGCGAAGGCGGGUAGCUGGGCCGAUACUGACGCUGAGGAGCGAAAGCGUGGGGAGCGAACAGG